UACGUAGGGUGCGAGCGUUAAUCGGAAUUACUGGGCGUAAAGCGUGCGCAGGCGGUUUUGCAAGCCGGAUGUGAAAUCCCCGGGCUCAACCUGGGAAUAGCAUUUGGGACUGCAAGGCUCGAGUGCGGCAGAGGAGACUGGAAUUCCUGGUGUAGCAGUGAAAUGCGUAGAUAUCAGGAGGAAUACCGAUGGCGAAGGCAGGUCUCUGGGCUGACACUGACGCUCAUGCACGAAAGCGUGGGGAGCAAACAGG
rnacentral:rRNA from 1 species